rnacentral:rRNA from 1 species
AGCACAGAGAGCUUGCUCUCGGGUGACGAGCGGCGGACGGGUGAGUAAUGUCUGGGAAACUGCCUGAUGGAGGGGGAUAACUACUGGAAACGGUAGCUAAUACCGCAUAAUGUCGCAAGACCAAAGUGGGGGACCUUCGGGCCUCAUGCCAUCAGAUGUGCCCAGAUGGGAUUAGCUAGUAGGUGGGGUAACGGCUCACCUAGGCGACGAUCCCUAGCUGGUCUGAGAGGAUGACCAGCCACACUGGAACUGAGACACGGUCCAGACUCCUACGGGAGGCAGCAGUGGGGAAUAUUGCACAAUGGGCGCAAGCCUGAUGCAGCCAUGCCGCGUGUGUGAAGAAGGCCUUCGGGUUGUAAAGCACUUUCAGCGGGGAGGAAGGCGUUAAGGUUAAUAACCUUGGCGAUUGACGUUACCCGCAGAAGAAGCACCGGCUAACUCCGUGCCAGCAGCCGCGGUAAUACGGAGGGUGCAAGCGUUAAUCGGAAUUACUGGGCGUAAAGCGCACGCAGGCGGUCUGUCAAGUCGGAUGUGAAAUCCCCGGGCUCAACCUGGGAACUGCAUUCGAAACUGGCAGGCUAGAGUCUUGUAGAGGGGGGUAGAAUUCCAGGUGUAGCGGUGAAAUGCGUAGAGAUCUGGAGGAAUACCGGUGGCGAAGGCGGCCCCCUGGACAAAGACUGACGCUCAGGUGCGAAAGCGUGGGGAGCAAACAGGAUUAGAUACCCUGGUAGUCCACGCCGUAAACGAUGUCGAUUUGGAGGUUGUGCCCUUGAGGCGUGGCUUCCGGAGCUAACGCGUUAAAUCGACCGCCUGGGGAGUACGGCCGCAAGGUUAAAACUCAAAUGAAUUGACGGGGGCCCGCACAAGCGGUGGAGCAUGUGGUUUAAUUCGAUGCAACGCGAAGAACCUUACCUGGUCUUGACAUCCACAGAACUUUCCAGAGAUGGAUUGGUGCCUUCGGGAACUGUGAGACAGGUGCUGCAUGGCUGUCGUCAGCUCGUGUUGUGAAAUGUUGGGUUAAGUCCCGCAACGAGCGCAACCCUUAUCCUUUGUUGCCAGCGGUCCGGCCGGGAACUCAAAGGAGACUGCCAGUGAUAAACUGGAGGAAGGUGGGGAUGACGUCAAGUCAUCAUGGCCCUUACGACCAGGGCUACACACGUGCUACAAUGGCAUAUACAAAGAGAAGCGACCUCGCGAGAGCAAGCGGACCUCAUAAAGUAUGUCGUAGUCCGGAUUGGAGUCUGCAACUCGACUCCAUGAAGUCGGAAUCGCUAGUAAUCGUAGAUCAGAAUGCUACGGUGAAUACGUUCCCGGGCCUUGUACACACCGCCCGUCACACCAUGGGAGUGGGUUGCAAAAGAAGUAGGUAGCUUAACCU